rnacentral:rRNA from 1 species
AAACCAACCGGGAUUGCCUCAGUAACGGCGAGUGAAGCGGCAAGAGCUCAAAUUUGAAAUCGCUGUGGCGAGUUGUAAUUUGAAGGCGUUCUUUGGGUGGUGGCGCAGUCUAAGUCCCUUGGAACAGGGCGCCUUGGAGGGUGAGAGCCCCGUAAGGCUGUAUGCCAUUGUCUAUAUAAAGAGCUGCCAACGAGUCGAGUUGUUUGGGAAUGCAGCUCAAAGUGGGUGGUAAAUUCCAUCUAAAGCUAAAUAUUGGCGAGAGACCGAUAGCGAACAAGUACAGUGAUGGAAAGAUGAAAAGCACUUUGAAAAGAGAGUGAAACAGUACGUGAAAUUGUUGAAAGGGAAGGGCAUGCAAGCAGACACGGCUUUUUUGCCGGGCCAGCAUCGGUUUGUGCGGGACGGAUAAUAACGCAGGAAUGUACCUUCUAUUAUUAGCUGGAUUAUAGCCUGUGGAGAUGCGUCCACGCCAGACCGAGGCCUGCGAUCUGAUCUAGGAUGCUGGCGUAAUGGUUGCAUGCCGC